CUGGAUAUCCUUGCCUCCUAUGCACCGAACCACCACACUGCUCCUCCAGCAGUCCUCCUGGCUCACCUGCUUGUCCACCCUUCAACAAUUCACUGAUCAACAACUCCAACCUGGAAAAGAAGGACAAAAGAAGACAAUGACUAACUCCACCAAUGACAAAGCUCCUUCCUAGCUCAACCUGUGUGGAUAUACUCAGCACAUCUGCACCAAGGCGCUUUUUUCUUGAGGCAGACGCCACAUUGUUCACCUCCUACAAGUGGUAAUCAGAUUGUCUUCUUCUUUAGAUCUAAUAUUCCUGGAGUU